rnacentral:rRNA from 1 species
UACGUAGGGGGCGAGCGUUGUCCGGAUUCAUUGGGCGUAAAGCGCGCGCAGGCGGCCCGCUCAGUCGGCCGUGAAAGCGCCGGGCUCAACUCGGCGAGGUCGGGCGAUACUGGCGGGCUCGAGGCUGGUAGAGGGCGGUGGAAUUCCGGGUGUAGUGGUGGAAUGCGUAGAGCUCCGGAGGAACACCAGUGGCGAAGGCGGCCGCCUGGGCCACGCCUGACGCUGAGCCGCGAAAGCGUGGGGAGCGAUCCGG